GCCCAGAAUAAUAAACCUGAGGACUUUCUACCGGUUGACAAAUUAGACUAAAGGAAGAACAAGGAAAGGGAUGAGCCAGCCAAACAGUUGACUUCCAUCUCGAUAACAGAAAAUCUUGUGCAAACGAUCUGAAUCGGGUCACAAUUGUCUGAUUCGGAGCGACAACAACUAAUCAAAUUGCUCAAAGCUAAUGCCAACAUCUUUGCUUGGUCGGCCAUGGACAUGUAUGGCAUUCUUCUAGAAAUAAUGACUCAUCGGCUCAAC
rnacentral:lncRNA from 1 species